AUGAAAGAACACUUUGAUGUUCACAACUUGAGUGGAACUGACCGCUCCGAGAGAUCACUUCGGUCCCGAUGGUCGACAAUCAACUCGGAUUGUCAAAGGUGGGCGGCCUGUCAAAAGGCGGUUGACAAGUUGAACCCAAGUGGCACAAAUGAGGACGAUAGAGUAAGUGGCAUUUCAUACAUGUUCAUCAUACUUGUUGUUGGUGCUAACUUGCUUUGUUUUCAUGUAGUACAACAUUGCGCAAAACUUGUUCAAAGAAGAGGAGAGGACAACCAAGAAGGGGAAGAUCAAGAAAGGAAGGGUCUUUACCUUGCCCCAUUGCUAUAA
rnacentral:rRNA from 1 species